rnacentral:rRNA from 1 species
UACGGGGGGGGCAAGCGUUGUUCGGAAUUACUGGGCGUAAAGGGCUCGUAGGCGGCCAACUAAGUCGGAUGUGAAAUCCCCAGGCUUAACUUGGGAACUGCAUCCGAUACUGGAUGGCUUGAAUCCGGGAGAGGGAUGCGGAAUUCCAGGUGUAGCGGUGAAAUGCGUAGAUAUCUCUAGGAACACCGGUGGCGAAGGCGGCAUCCUGGACCGGCAUUGACGCUGAUGUGCGAAAGCGUGGGGAGCAAACAGG